CUCUGCUCCUCCUCCUUCUUCUUCUCCCUCAACAACAGCACAAUAAUAAUGAUAAUACAACAGCAAACAAACAGCAGCAGCAGUAUUGAUU
rnacentral:ribozyme from 1 species